UUAAAUCUAAUUUUGAUUAUUGUAUCAACUUAUUAAUUAAUCUAAUUAAUAUAUUUAAGUCAUUAUCUAUUGUAUAAAUUGUUGUGUAAUUAAUUAAUUUAUUAUUUAUGGUACAUUAGCUCAUUAAAAAUUAAUUAUUUAAUGUGUUUAUCUAAUAACUAAUAUUUAUAUGGAUCAACUAAUUUAAUUAAUUGUUAACAAAUUAUCUAACUAAUUAAAUAAUUUACUAAUUAAUUAAAAAGUUAAGUUAUAUUUUAUAAUUUAUUAAAUAAUUACUUAAUAUGAUUAUUUAGUUAAUAUAUAUUUUCAUUACCUUUUACAAUAUUCUUAGCUAAUAAAUUUUUAAAUUUAUUAAAUUAUUUUUAAUUAAUAUUUAAUAUUAAAUAAUUUGAUAAAAUAUUAUUAAUUUAAAAUUAUAAUUAUUUUUAUUCCCACUAGUUAUUCCAAUCUAAUCAUAUAAAUACUAUUUACUUUAUUUUUAAAAAUAAUUAAAUUUUUAUCUAAAUAAAAUUUUACUCUAGAAUACCUAUUUUUGAAAUAAGCUGUUCUUAUUUACAUACAUGAACAUACAUGGGCAGACGAUGAAUAUUCGCGAGUAUGAAAUAAAUAAAAUAUACUAUUAUCACUACAACAAAAUUAGGUUAUAGGGACACAUGUUUGGGACACUUUUGAAUAAGUGUCCCAUUUAUACUAAAACUUAAAAAAAUAUCUACUAAUGCCUAAAUAUAAAGCCCAAUCCAACCAAAAAUAAAAAAUUACUCUACUCAACCCACCACAUCCAGUCCAUUUGACCCGAUUACAAACAGAAAAAAAAAAAGAAAAAUCAAUUACCAUCUUUUCUUCUUUCUUCACUCAAUCCACCGAAAUUCUAUACGAAGAGCCUUUCCUGUCGUCCUCCUCCGCCACCGCAGCCAACAAGAUAGAGUUUCGGCGUUUGCUAAAUACUUAAAUAAGUGUUGGUAAAUUAGCAACAUUUUUUUAGGUUAUAGCGACACUCUUUAACUGUCACUAUAUACCUAGCAACCCCACAUAUAGCAACACUUUUUAAAGUGUCGGUAAUUUUAGCUAGUAGUAUUUUUUUGACAUGUACCUAUAUUUAAAAGUAUCGCUAUAAACCGUUUUUGUUGUAGUUUAUUAUCUUAUAUAAAGGGCGUACUUGGAGUGGAUUUACAGCAUGCAUGGCCCAUGUGCUCCUCUCAUUCGACACGUCAUCGAAACCCUCCACUUUUCUCUCAGAUUAUACUCUAGAAUUUCUAUCUCUGAAAUAAACAAUUUUUAUUUAUAUCUGAACCAAAUGAAGCAUUAAACUUUAUACAUGAACAAACGAUGAAUAUUGACGAGUACGAAAUAAAUAGGUAUAUUAUUAUUAUUUAUAUGGAUUUGCAGCAUGGCCCACGUGCUCCUCGUUCGACACGUCGAUAACGCGACAAAACCCUCAAUUUUUCUCUCUGAUUAAGAGGGGAUGCAUACCAAGCAUGCAUCCUUUUUAUUUCCCCACCCCUACACAUGAUCUCUCUCAUUGCAUGCACGUCCAUUGGUCCACCGCCUUAGCUUAUUGAAUGUAAGUAACAAAACCUACUAGUAUAGGACCUGCGCUUUGCGACGAAUAGAUAGUAUUUUAAUCGUUGAAAGGAGAAGAGUGUUGCAGCGAAUUAAACUAAAAAUUUUAUUAAAUAUUUUUAAACUAAAUUUUGGUAGUGUAUUAUUUUCCACAUAUUUACAAUAGUCUAUAUAUAAGAACAAAUCAAAAAAUCCUAAUAGCAAUAAUUGAAUAAAGAUUUAAACUUAUCUCUUAUGUUUAACCAAUAAAAUAUUAAGAGAUAAACUUGAUAGAAAUGAAUGUGAACUUAUCAAAAAUGUUUGGUUACUUAUCAACAUUAACCAAUUAACAUGUACAUGUUUAUUAAAAUUUUAAUUUUAAAAAAUUAUAGCUAAAAAAAUGUAUGUACAUUAUAAAAAAUAAUUUUUUAUUAAUAAUUUUUUAUUUUUAAUAUUUAUGCAGUUAAAUUAUUCUAAUAACUUUAUUUUAAAAUUUUAAUUAAAUUUAAUGGUUUUGAUAGCUAUUUUAUAAAAAAAAAAUUUUAACUAAAAAGUUAAAGUUGGAGGACUUAUAUUAGAUGAUUUUAUCUUAUUAAAACUAAACUUUAUUUAUGUUAAAGUCAAAUUAAAAAAUAUAUGCGGAUGUCUUAUAUACCGAAUGUACAGCUUUUUAUGCACUGUAUUUAUAAAAUUUUGUUAUAAAAGUAAAAAUCUAUUAAUUUUGUAUCUAGAUUUUUUACAUAUUAUAAAUUAUAUUUAUCAGAUAAAAUUUUAAUUUUAUUAUAUUAAUUAUUAAAACAUAGCGUUGGAUCAUAUGAUGAAUUUUUAGAGAAACGAAAAAAGUGGGCUCUACUGAUUUGCCGCAAUACCAAGUGAAUAAUUUUUUUUGCACCGUAUUUAUAAUAUUUUAUUAUAAAUAUUAAAAUAUAUUAAUUUUUGUAUUUAUAUUGUUUUAUAUAUUAUAAAUUGUAUUUAUCACAUAAUUUUUUAAUUUUAUUAUAUUAAUUAUUUAAAAAUAAAUUUGAUUUAUAUGAUAAAAUUUUACACCUGAUGUAUGCUAAAACAAAAUAGAAAGUGUUGGUUCACAUGAAUGAGAGAGAGAGGACAGAAAAAAGUAGGGUCCACCGAUUUGUCCCAAAACCGGAGAGCAUGGUUUUACACUUUUCGGAUUCCCCUUUUAUGUUUUCAGAGAAUAAUGAUUAUUUUAUAUUAUUUAAUUUAAUAUAUAAUAUAUAAUAUUAAAGCAGGAGAUAUUAUAAGUUUGAAUAUUGUUAGGCUCUUAGUCUCAUAUUGUUUAAUUUUUUUUAUUUAAUUCAUGUCUAUGUCUCAAAUCUAUAAAAAAAAUUUUAAAGUCCAAACAUGUAGGAGAGUGUUGAAUGUGAAAAAAGAAUAAAAAUAUGCAGAAUUUAUCUGAAUUAUGGAUCAUUUUGAGUUGACUAUUUAAUCUUUCGAAAUUUUGAUUUUAUCGUUCAAUCUUUAAAUUUCUUUGAUUUCGGUCGGUAAACGAUUUUUUAACUUCAAAAUUUGAAUGUUUCGUUUAUCUUUAUAAAUUUAGUUAGCAUACUUCACGCAAUUAUCGCAACUGUAAAUUUAUUAAAAUAAAUAAUUAGCUUAAAUUUUGAAGUCAAAAUUCUAUAUACUGAUUCAAAUCAAACAAAUUGACAGGUUGGAUAAGAAAAAUUUUGGAUAAUCAACUCAAAAUGAUUCAUAGUUCAGAAAAGUUUUGUAUGUUUUUACUAAUAAUAAAAAUACUAUAUUUUCUGAUAGUUUAAUUUUUUUUUAGGAAUUAAUGAUUAUUUUAUUUUUUUAAGAAUUAAUGAUUAUUUUAUAUAAUUUAAUAGUAGCUUGGGAAUAUACUAUACUAUCACCAUUCACCCAAUAAAUUAACGUUUUCCAUGAUUUAAAUAUUAUUAUUUUUUUAAGACUAACUGAGAUUCUAAAUAGGGAAUUUUGUAAAGUUAGAAAAAUUUUGGUUCACAGAUGACAACAUGGUGGAAGAUGUAUAGAGAAUACUAUCUCUUCUCAUGUGUUUCUGGUGAAAUUGUUGCCUACUUGGUGUAUAGUACAUGUUGGUACAACUUAUACAAUAUAUACACCUUAAUUAAAUACUAAAAUAGAGGACUCAAAGUUCUAAAUCUAACUCAAUUGAAUAUUUUUAUGCAAUAUUAAAAAUCUUACAUGUUAGAUAUUUGUUUUUCAUUUUUACAAAUCAAAUAAUGCUCCUAUCUCUGCUGUUAAUUUUGAUUAAUGUAUAGUUAAUCAAAAAAUUUUGAAUUUUGAAUAUAGCUAAUAUAACAACAAUUUAAGAUCAGAUCAUAUAUAUCUCGAUCAUUAAUCUAAACUUUAAGACUAAAUUAUACGUCUCAGAUGUUCAGCUCAAGUAAAAAAUUCUUAAAAUCUCGUGCUUUUUAGUACUCAAUAUAUAUUGGUAUAUAACCUUGUAAAAGUCCUUUUGUAUUUUAUAGAUGUAUAAAAAAAAAAAGUUAAUUAGGCUCUUCAAAAUUUUUUGCAUGUAGCUAGACUCCUCGAGUAAGUUUUCUUUUCUUCUUCUUUAUUUUUUUAUAAUAACAUAUCAUAUAUUAUUAUUAUUAUUACUAUUACUACUACUAUUAUUAUAAUUAUUGUUAUCGUGCAUGUAACUACACAAAUAUAUGGCGUAGUGACAAAGACCAAUUUAGGGUUAUAUGUUUUGAAGAAACACGAUCCAACCAAACUGAAUCGAAAUUUCGUUGAGUUCAGUAAUUCUUGUAAUUAGCGCGAUAAAUUUUUAAAUAGUCAUAACCUUUUCGCUAGCUUGAGUAUAUAUCUGAUUUUAACGUGCAAUCUCAAUUCGAAAUAUACUUUCGAGAUCUACGCAUCAAAUGGCCUUAGCCACUUUGGCUGAGUUUGAGACCCAAAUUCAAUUGUUUCGAUCUCUGUUUUUAUAUUCUUAGUUUAUUUUUGAAAAAUUCUGCAUUUUUUUUUACUUUUAUAUGAUCAUUUAAUUAUUUUUUAAUCUAAUUAGGUUUAGAGAUAUAUUGGAAUUUAUUAUUUUCGUCUAGUAAGAUUCAAAAUUUAUUUUUUAUAAUACAUAAACGUGACGUUCGGUUAAUGUAAUUAGAGAUUUUGAAAGUUGAUUAAUAAUAUCUUAUCUUUGUCGAAAAUUUGAUUUUUCAUGUAUCAUCUCUUUCCGUCUGUUUUUUUUCUCUCUCAACGCAGCUUUAGGUGUGCAUCUGUUAAAGUUAAAUUAGUAUCAUUCAUGCUAUUUGACUUGGCCACCCAGUUGUUUGAAGAAUCAAAAUACAUUCUCGGACGUCAACUUACAAGUCAAAAAUCGAUUCAACAAAAAAACAAAGAAAAAAAAAAAAAACUUUAAGAGCCUGUUUGGAUGCACAAUAAAAAAUCUCCAUGGAAUUUAUAAACUGUGGUUUUGGUCCAAAUGAAGUAAGAAAUCCUGUAAUUCUAAAAAAGUCCACUGAUUCAAUUUUUAAAAUUUAAAAUUUAAAUAAAAUUUAAAAUUUGAUAUGUGAAAUGUGAAAUUUUAAAUUUUAAAUUCUAAAUUUUAAAAUUUGAAAAUUAAAAUUUUAAAAUAUAAAAAUCUAAAUUUAAUUUUAAAAUUUUAAAAUUUUAAAUUUUAAAAUAAAAAAUUUUAAAUUUUAAAUUGAGAAUUUAGAAUUUUAAUUUUUAAAAAUAAAUUUAAAAUUUAAAGUUCAAAAUUUGAAAUUUAAACUAUGAGAUUUGAGAUUUGAAAUUUAAAAUUUAUAAUUUAUAAUUUAAAAUUUAAAAUUUAAAAUUUAUUAAUUUAAAAUUUAAAAUUUAAGAUUUAUUAAUUUAAAAUUUAAAAUUUAUUAAUUUAAAAUUUAAAAUUUAAAAGUUAAAAGUUAAAAUUUGAAAAUUAAAAUUUAAAAUUCAAAAAUUACGUUAUUUGUUUUAAUAUAGUUUAACUAUACUCCAAAAAUUACGUGUUUUUUUUUUUUUCCAAUCUCUUUAUAGGAUAAUUUUUCCUACCGGUGUAGUAUAGUUUAACUAUGCUACGUUUUUAGGGAUAUCCAAACGGGGUCUUGGUAGUUAAUGAUUGUUUAUUUGUAUAAUUUUAGGAUGCUUAUUACUCUUUAAUUACUGCUUAUGGCAACCAUCUCUAAGGCACACUAAUCAAUUAAAUACAAACAAAACAUUUUAGGACAAGAACAAAAGUUUCAAUGUCUCCCACUCUAGAUCAACAAGGAAAGGGACUUCAAACUAAUGUCUCACACUCUAGAUCAACUAGGAAAGGGACUUCAAACUAAUGUCUCCCACUCUAGAUCAACAAGGAAAGGGACUUCAAACUAAAACAAAGACCAAGAUAAGCUAAUUCAUUAUUGGAGUGCAAGUCAAUUGCUGGCUGGUGUUCAACUGUUCCACUUGGGCUUUAUUUGGAAAUGCCGCAGCGCGUGCAAGAAUCAAAAAUCGAUCGGUCAAACUGCUCGUACAGUUGAUAAAAAUACUAUAUUUUAUGCUAACGAUAGUAAAUUCUUGAUAAAAGUUGUUGAUGUAUAUAUGUUUUGUACUAAUCUUGCCAAUUUAACAUUAGAGUUUUUGAAAAAACGUGACUUAGCCAAGUUGAGUCGAAAAUUACGAUGAAUUUGAUAAUUUUUACAAUAAGUGUGAAAAGUCUUUAAAUGGUUUUCGUGUAUCUCUUUUUUUCCGUCCUUAUGCUUCUUCCCUCUCAACACGAUUUAGGUCUGCGUCAUGCACUACAACAGAAUUAGGUUAUAGGGAUACAUGUUUGGGACACUUUUGAGUAAGUGUCCCAUUUAUACUAAAACUUAAAAAAAUAUCUACUUAUGCCUAAAUAUAAAGCCCAAUCUAACCAAAAAUAAGAGAUUACUCUACUCAACCCACCACACCCAGUCCAUUUGAGCCGAUUACAAAUAGAAAAGAAAAAAAAAGAAAAAUAAAUUACCAUUUUUUCUUCUCUCUUCACUCAAUCCACUGAAAUUUUAGACGAAGAGCCUUUCUUGUCGUCCUCCUCCGCCACCGCAGCCAACGAGAUAGAGUUUCGGCGGUUGCUAAAUGCUUAAAUAAGUGUUGGUAAAUUAGCAGCACUCUUUUAGGUUAUAGCGACACUCUUUUACUGUCACUAUAUACCUAGCGACCCCACAUAUAGCAACACUUUUUAAAAGUGUCGGUAAUUUUAGCUAGCAGCACUUUUUUGACUUGUACCUACAUUUAAAAGUGUCGCUAUAGACCGUUUUUGUUGUAGUGGAUAUGUACGCAUUCUAAAUUAAAAAAAUUAUAAUUUC
rnacentral:lncRNA from 1 species